AUACGGAGGAUGCGAGCGUUAUCCGGAUUUAUUGGGUUUAAAGGGUGCGUAGGCUGUGCGUUAAGUCAGGGGUGAAAUGCCAUCGCUCAACGACGGAGCUGCCCUUGAUACUGGCGUGCUGGAGUACGGAUGCCGUUGGAGGAAUGAGUGGUGUAGCGGUGAAAUGCUUAGAUAUCACUCAGAACACCGAUUGCGAAGGCAUCUGACGAAUCCGUCACUGACGCUGAGGCACGAAAGCGUGGGGAUAGAGCAGGAUUAGAUACCCUGGUAUUCCACGCCGUAAACGAUGAUGACUAACCGUCGGCGAUAGACAGCCGGUGGCCAAGCGAAAGCGAUAAGUCAUCCACCUGGGGAGUACGUCGGCAACGAUGAAACUCAAAUGAAUUGACGGGG
rnacentral:rRNA from 1 species